UAAUGGCAGGUCAGCAUACUGCCGUGAAUACGUUCCCGGGCCCUUGUACACACCGCCCGUCACACCAUGAGAGUUGGGGAUACCCGAAGCCUGUGAGCUAACUUUUAGAGGCAGCAGUCGAAGGUAGAAUCAAUGAUUAGGGUGAAGUCGUAACAAGGUAAC
rnacentral:rRNA from 1 species